GUUGUAUAGUCAAGUAAUUAAGUGCAUGUGGUGGAUGCCUUGGCAGUCAGAGGCGAUGAAAGACGUGAUAGCCUGCGAAAAGCUCCGGGGAGGCGGCAAAUAUCCUUUGAUCCGGAGAUGUCUGAAUGGGGGAACCCACCUACUUUAAGGUAGGUAUUGCAACAUGAAUACAUAGUGUUGCAAGGCGAACGAGGGGAAGUGAAACAUCUCAGUACCCUUAGGAAAAGAAAUCAAUUGAGAUUCCCUCAGUAGCGGCGAGCGAACGGGGAUCAGCCCAUUAAGUUAUGUGUGUUUUAGUGGAACGCUCUGGGAAGUGCGAACGUAGAGGGUGAUAUUCCCGUACACGAAAGGGCACACAUAAUGAUGACGAGUAGGGCGAGGCACGUGAAACCUUGUCUGAAUAUGGGGGGACCAUCCUCCAAGGCUAAAUACUCCUGACUGACCGAUAGUGAACCAGUACCGUGAGGGAAAGGCGAAAAGAACCCCUGUGAGGGGAGUGAAAUAGAUCCUGAAACCGCAUGCAUACAAGCAGUGGGAGCACCUUCGUGGUGUGACUGCGUACCUUUUGUAUAAUGGGUCAGCGACUUAUAUUCAGUAGCGAGGUUAACCGUAUAGGGGAGCCGUAGAGAAAUCGAGUCUUAAUAGGGCGUUUAGUUGCUGGGUAUAGACCCGAAACCAGGCGAUCUAUCCAUGAGCAGGUUGAAGGUUGGGUAACACUAACUGGAGGACCGAACCCACUGUCGUUGAAAAGCCAGGGGAUGACUUGUGGAUAGGGGUGAAAGGCUAAUCAAGCCUGGUGAUAGCUGGUUCUCCCCGAAAGCUAUUUAGGUAGCGCCUCGGACGAAUACCAUAGGGGGUAGAGCACUGUUUCGGCUAGGGGGUCAUCCCGACUUACCAAACCGAUGCAAACUCCGAAUACCUAUGAGUACUAUCCGGGAGACAGACUGCGGGUGCUAACGUCCGUAGUCAAGAGGAAAACAAUCCAGACCGCCAGCUAAGGCCCCAAAAUCAUAGUUAAGUGGGAAACGAUGUGGGAAGGCAUAGACAGCUAGGAGGUUGGCUUANNNNNNNNNNNNNNNNNNNNNNNNNNNNNNNNNNNNNNNNNNNNNNNGAAGCAGCCACCCUUUAAAGAAAGCGUAAUAGCUCACUAGUCGAGUCGGCCUGCGCGGAAGAUGUAACGGGGCUAAAACUAUGUGCCGAAGCUGCGGAUGUAUACUUUGUAUACGUGGUAGGGGAGCGUUCUGUAAGCCGAUGAAGGUGUGUUGAGAAGCNGAAGCAGCCACCCUUUAAAGAAAGCGUAAUAGCUCACUAGUCGAGUCGGCCUGCGCGGAAGAUGUAACGGGGCUAAAACUAUGUGCCGAAGCUGCGGAUUUGACAUUAGUCAAGUGGUAGGGGAGCGUUCUGUAAGCCGAUGAAGGUGUAUUGAGAAGUNNNNNNNNNNNNNAUGCUGGAGGUAUCAGAAGUGCGAAUGCUGACGUGAGUAACGACAAAACGGGUGAAAAACCCGUUCGCCGAAAGACCAAGGGUUCCAGUCCAACGUUAAUCGGGGCUGGGUGAGUCGACCCCUAAGGCGAGGCCGAAAGGCGUAGUCGAUGGGAAAAUGGUUAAUAUUCCAUUACUUCUGUGUAAUGCGAUGAGAGGACGGAGAAGGCUAAAUCAGCCUGGCGUUGGUUGUCCAGGUGAAAGGAUGUAGGCAUGUAUCUUAGGCAAAUCCGGGGUACUCUAUGCUGAGAUCUGAUAGCAAGCUGUACUUGUACAGCGAAGUGGUUGAUGCCAUGCUUCCAGGAAAAGUCUCUAAGCUUCAGUUACACAGGAAUCGUACCCGAAACCGACACAGGUGGUCAGGUCGAGUAGACCAAGGCGCUUGAGAGAACUCUGCUGAAGGAACUAGGCAAAAUGGUACCGUAACUUCGGGAGAAGGUACGCUGUUGUUGGUGAUGGAACUCGCUUCCUGAGCUGACGACAGCCGCAGAAACCAGGCCGCUGCAACUGUUUAUUAAAAACAUAGCACUCUGCAAACACGAAAGUGGACGUAUAGGGUGUGAUGCCUGCCCGGUGCUGGAAGGUUAAUUGAUGGGGUUAGCGUAAGCGAAGCUCUUGAUCGAAGCCCCAGUAAACGGCGGCCGUAACUAUAACGGUCCUAAGGUAGCGAAAUUCCUUGUCGGGUAAGUUCCGACCUGCACGAAUGGCAUAAUGAUGGCGGCGCUGUCUCCAGCAGAGGCUCAGUGAAAUCGAAAUCGCUGUGAAGAUGCAGUGUACCCGCGGCUAGACGGAAAGACCCCGUGAACCUUUACUGCAGCUUGACACUGAACUUUGACCUUACUUGUGUAGGAUAGGUGGGAGGCUUUGAAGCUGGAACGCUAGUUCCAGUGGAGCCGUCCUUGAAAUACCACCCUGGUAAUGUUGAGGUUCUAACUCUGUCCCGUGAUCCGGGACGAGGACCGUGUCUGGUGGGUAGUUUGACUGGGGCGGUCUCCUCCUAAAGAGUAACGGAGGAGUACGAAGGUGCGCUCAGCGUGGUCGGAAAUCACGCGUAGAGUAUAAAGGCAAAAGCGCGCUUAACUGCGAGACCCACAAGUCGAGCAGGUACGAAAGUAGGUCUUAGUGAUCCGGUGGUUCUGUAUGGAAGGGCCAUCGCUCAACGGAUAAAAGGUACUCUGGGGAUAACAGGCUGAUACCGCCCAAGAGUUCAUAUCGACGGCGGUGUUUGGCACCUCGAUGUCGGCUCAUCUCAUCCUGGGGCUGAAGCAGGUCCCAAGGGUAUGGCUGUUCGCCAUUUAAAGAGGUACGCGAGCUGGGUUUAGAACGUCGUGAGACAGUUCGGUCCCUAUCUACCGUGGGCGCUGGAAAUUUGAGAGGAUCUGCUCCUAGUACGAGAGGACCAGAGUGGACGAACCUCUGGUGUACCGGUUGUGACGCCAGUCGCAUCGCCGGGUAGCUAUGUUCGGAAGGGAUAACCGCUGAAAGCAUCUAAGCGGGAAGCCUACCUCAAGAUAAGAUUUCCCUAGGACUUUAUGUCCUCUAAAGAGCCGUUCGAGACUAGGACGUUGAUAGGUUGGAUGUGGAAGCAUAGUGAUAUGUGAAGCUGACCAAUACUAAUUGCUCGUGAGGCUUGACUAUACAACACCCAAGCAGUUG
rnacentral:rRNA from 1 species